rnacentral:rRNA from 1 species
GACGUAGGGCGCGAGCGUUGUCCGGAUUUAUUGGGCGUAAAGAGCUCGUAGGCGGCUUGUCGCGUCGACCGUGAAAACUUGGGGCUCAACCCCCAAGCCUGCGGUCGAUACGGGCAGGCUAGAGUUCGGUAGGGGAGACUGGAAUUCCUGGUGUAGCGGUGAAAUGCGCAGAUAUCAGGAGGAACACCGAUGGCGAAGGCAGGUCUCUGGGCCGAUACUGACGCUGAGGAGCGAAAGCGUGGGGAGCGAACAGG